UGGUUUUACACUGGGAUGUUUGUAUAUACAUAUGUCUAUAUCUUUAGUGUUCAUCAAACUGGUACUGUCCUGUCUAAAUAAAUAAAUAAAAUAAAAAUAAAAUGAAGUAUCAGUAUUGAUUCUUCAUAGCAACUCCUUCGGGAAGGUGUUCCACCUCAGAUCUUGUUUUGUUAAGUCGGUGCUGGAUCCAUACGUCUACAGCCUCAGAUUUGGUCGUCCCGCUUCAUGUGGGAGAGGAGUGGGGUGGAGAGCAGAAAAGCAGUACUAAAACAGCAACCAGCAUGUAGUUAACUAAAUGCUAAAGUGUAAAACAUUUUGUACUAGCUGCAGGAUUUUUAUCCCAGAGAUGGAAAGACCGGGGAGCAGUGCUUACAGAGGCCGAGGUGAGAUGUAUACAAAUGCUGAACGAUAAUCUCCGCUUCAUUAGUGGAUAGAAUUGGUUGUAUUUUAGUGAGAUUGCAUACAUUAAAAAGUCUUAAUAAUAUUCUUUAGCAAGCUCAGAAUUUGUCUGCCUGCGCCUCCAUCAAAUCAACCAAACCUGCAUUACACCAAAUGAACUAAACCUUGACCUUGCUUUUAGGUAAUCCAUUUUGCCUACUUUUGAUUACCAAAUUGCCAGAAGUGCCAGUGUAGGUGCAAUAUAACAGGCUCAAAUGCCUAUCAAGGCCUAGUGCAGUCUACCAAAUUCACAAACAUGCCCCAGCACGAACAUUAAGCAACACAAGCCGCCAAACAUGGUAAACUAGACCAGGCCUGGCAUUUUAACUCUGACUGUCUGUCUACAAAAAUAGGCCACAUUUACUUAAUUAAUUGUUAAAUAAUAUUAAAAUAUAAAACUGGUUCCAUGCAAAUGUAUUGUGUACUUAAUCACACAACAUAUUAAUAAACUCAUCCAAUAUUGA